rnacentral:rRNA from 1 species
AUUGAACGCUGGCGGCAGGCCUAACACAUGCAAGUCGAGCGGAUGAAGGGAGCUUGCUCCUGGAUUCAGCGGCGGACGGGUGAGUAAUGCCUAGGAAUCUGCCUGUUAGUUGGUUAUAACGUCCUGAAACGGGCGCUAAUACCGCAUACGUCCUGAGGGAGAAAGGGGGGGAUCUUCGGACCUCACGCUCUCAGAUGAUCCUAUGUCGGAUUAGCUAGUUGGUGGGGUAAAGGCGUACCAAGGCGACGAUCCGUAACUGGUCUGAGAGGAUGAUCAGUCACACUGGAACUGAGACACGGUCCAGACUCCUACGGGAGGCAGCAGUGGGGAAUAUUGGACAAUGGGCGCAAGCCUGAUCCAGCCAUGCCGCGUGUGUGAAGAAGGUCUUCGGAUUGUAAAGCACUUUAAGUUGGGAGGAAGGGCAGUAAGUUAAUACCUUGCUGUUUUGACGUUACCAAAAGAAUAAGCACCGGCUAACUUCGUG